AGGGGAAUAUUGCACAAUGGAGGGAACUCUGAUGCAGCGACGCCGCGUGAGUGAUGAAGGAAUUCGUUUCGUAAAACUCUGUUCUAUGGGAAGAAAAGGACUGUACCAUAGGAGAAAGCUCCGGCUAAAUACGUGCCAGCAGCCGCGGUAAUACGUAUGGAGCGAGCGUUGUCCGGAAUUAUUGGGCGUAAAGGGUGCGCAGGCGGCUUUACAAGUUGGAUGUGAAAUAUUGUGGCUCAACCACAAACGUGCAUCCAAAACUGCAAAGCUUGAGGUAAGGAGAGGUAAGUUGAAAUCCUGGUGGAGCGGUGGAAUGCGUAGAUAUCAGGAGGAAUACCGGUGACGGAGGCGACUGACUGGACUUAAACUGACGCUCAGGCACGAAAGCGUGGGGAGCAAACAGG
rnacentral:rRNA from 1 species